rnacentral:lncRNA from 10 species
AUGCCCACGCCUCAGAACAUGGGUGGGCGCUAUGAGGCAAGCCAGGACCUGCUGGGCACCCUGCGGAAGCAGCUUAGCGACAGCGAGAGUGAGCGGCGGGCCCUAGAGGAACAACUGCUGCGCCUGCGGGAAAAGACCAACUGCGCCAUGCAGGCCCACGAGGACGCCCAGCGCGAGGUGCAGCGGCUGCGGAGUGCCAACGAGCUCCUGAGCAGGGAGAAGAGCAACCUGGCUCACAGCCUGCAGGUGGCCCAGCAGCAGGCCGAGGAGCUACGGCAGGAGCGGGAGAAGCUGCAGGCUGCCCAGGAGGAGCUGCGGCGCCAGCGGGACCGGCUGGAGGAAGAGCAGGAGGACACGGUGCAGGAUGGCGCGCGGGUGCGCCAGGAGCUUGAGCGCAGGGGCUACAGAGCAGCAGGCACACUGCUGGUGGGGGAGGCACGUCUGUGCAGAGGUCCACUGUGGUCUUCAGCCCAGAACACGGACAUCCCAACCAGGGCUGCAAACUAGAGUUUGGGGCCCAGAUGGUGGGCUGGCCUGAUGGAACAGACAAGAACUGAGGAGACUCUCACCGCUACUGGAGGACCAGACUGAUGGGAGACAGAAGCUGUGCACGGACUGAUGGGAGACAGAAGCUGUGCAUGGACUGAUGGGAGACAGAAGCUGCGCAUGGACUGAUGGGAGACAGAAGCUGUACAUGGGCCACCACCCCUUCAGGGGCACAGUUGCCACUGGCAUGCCUGAGAGUUUGUUUUCAAAAGAAUGUCUUUCAGAAUUUGUGAUGAAGAACCCAAAAGCAAAUGUGACAAAAUAAAAAAUAGACAAAUGGGACUUCUGCACAGUGAAAGAAACUAUUAAAACAUGAACAGAGUAAACAGACAGCCUGCAGAAGGGGAGAAAAUAUUUGCAAACUGCGUCUGACAAAGGUCUGAUUUCCAGAAUCUAUAAGGAACUUAAACAAUUCAGCAAGCAAAAAAACCAAAUAAUCCCAUUGAAAAGUGGGCAAAGGACAUGAACAGACACUUCUCAAAAGAAGACAUAAAGUUGGCCAACAAACGCAUGAGAAAAUGCUCAACAUCACUAAUCAUUAGAGACGUGCAAAUCAGAACCACAAUGAGACAGCAUCUCAAGCCAGUCAGAAUGGCAAUUAUUAAAAAGUAAAAAAAUAACAGAUGUUGUUGAGGCUUUGGAGAAAAGAAAAUGCUUAUCCAUUGUUAGUGAGAAUGCAAAUGAGAUCGUCCCCUGUGGAAAGCAGUUUGGAGAUUUCUCAAAGAACAAAAAACAGAAUUAUCACUGGACCCAGCAAUCCCAUCACUGGUAUAUACCCAAAAGAAAAUAAAUGUCCUACCAAAAAGACACCUGCACUCAAAUGUUUACUGAACCACUAUUCACAAUAGCAAAGACAUGGAAUCAAUCCAAGUGCCCAUCAGCAGUGUAUUGGAUAAAGAAUAUGGGGUACAUAUACACCAUGGAAUACUACACAGCCAUAAAAAGUGAAAUUGUGGCCUUUGCAGCAACAUGAAUGCAUUUGGAAUCCAUUAUCCUAAGCUAAUUAAUGCAGAAACAGAAAACCAAACAUCACAUGUGCCCACCCAUAAUGGGGAGCUAAACAGUGGGUAUACACAGACACUGGGGGGUUACUAGACAGGGGAGGGAAGGGGGCAAGGGCUGAAAAACUACCUAUCAGGUUCUAUGUUCACCACCUGGGUGGUGGGAUCGUUAGAAGGCCAAACCUCAGCAUCACGCAAUAUACUCAUGUAAAAAACCUGCAUAGGUAUCCCCUGAAUCCAAACAAAAACCCAGUCUUUCUCUUUCCAAAACCCCAAAGCAAACUUACCAAAAAAACUUUCCAAGGAAAACACAAUCCCUAGACAAACAGCUAUAUUUUCAGCAGAGCAGAUGCCAGCCGGGAAGACACAGAGCUAGUUGCCUUCAACACUGACAGCCAGCCCCAGGUUGCUCAGAAAAGGCCACUGGGCAAGGAGAGGCGGGGACCUGGACCCUUGGGUCCCAUUGGCCUCUCUGUCAGAGGCUUUGCCGCUGGCCCUGGCUUCCGAGAGGCUGUUUUCCUGGAGAAGGCCACAGCGGUUCUUCUCAGAAACGUUGUUCUCCCUUUAAUGAUUCAGCACGCAUGCUGAGCGGGGUGCCGGUGGCAUGAGUGAGAUUGGACAUGGCAAACCUUUAAUGCCAGCGGGAAAGCUUCAUAAAGUGACAUUCGGCCUGAGCUGCAGCCUCUGCAGCUUAAUGGUGCACCUCGAGGUGGCUGCUGGCAACCCCAUUUGUUCGGCAGCAGGCAGGCCAACCGUCCGGACCCUCUUCUGGUUGGGGUGGGCCACUGAGAUGUCAUAGAUUGGAGGCAUCUGGGGGCCCUGGCUCUUUGAGGGGCACUCUGGGGUGGGUUGUGCCCUUGCCAUCAGCCUCACGGAAAAGAGCACUGGAUUUGGAGUCUGGAGAGCUCCUGGCAGCUUCCUGCCUCCCCCACUUUCCAGCAGUUUGCUCUGGGGUGAGAUUCCUUGGGGUCCUGAGCCUGUUUCCUCACUCAUUGGGUGCAGUUAAGAGCUACACGCUUUUUAUAUGCGUGUCCUUUCUGCACAAUGACACCCACAGCCUUGGGGACAGCAGCCGCCUACAGCCUCUGCACCAUCUGGUACCCGCACCUGCAAGUCCAGGUACAGGAUGUCACUGCGAGGUGUCACUCACUCACUCACUCACUCAUUCAUUCAGCAUGUUUUUGCUGGGUAGGUGCAUGGUACAGGCCUGAUCUGGCAAUGGGCCUUCUGAGUGAGUCUCCGGCCGGCAGGCUGCACUUGUUGCUGAGCUUUCUGGACUCUGGGACCUGGAUGCAGCAUCCCAGUUUCAGCCCUCAAGGGCACCUUGUCUUGACCCCCUUUCUUCUCCUUGCCCCCUCUCUCCCUGCCUCCAUCUUUCCCUUCUCCUCCUGUCCCUUUCUUCAGUAACUUUUGAGUCCCUCCUAUGUGCCAGGUGCUAUUCUAGGCACUGGGAGGGGGGAGGGGUGGCCUAGCAGCAAACAAAACAGACAAGUCCCCACUGUCCCUGCUACCAGGAGGGGCCCAGGAUUGGGUGGCCCAGGGCCUCACGUAGCAGUUCUAGAGUCUGGGCCCAGGGAACGCCACACUUUAAGCAGUGUGGGCCUGUGCUGACCUGCCGUUUUUUCUUGGCUCUUUUUGUCUGUCCUCCAUAAUUCACCAACCCCCCAGGCUGACCAGGAGCUCUACAAGCCCAGAUGUCCGUGGCUUGUGCGCACUAGAGAAUGGGGCGUCGCCGUGGAGGGCGAGCCUUUCAGACUUGGGGAUGCUUGUGGGCUGAUAUGGGGACUUGAGGGAGCGUAGACCUCAUAUCUCUCUCUGGAGAUGUGAUUCUGUGGGUCAGUGGAGGAGCCCAGUAGUUCUCUCUGAUGCAUGGUCCCCAGAUCACAGCCCGGGAAACGUGGUGCUGGAGUCUGUUGAGAUCGAAUCCUAGCCUGCCACUGUGACUGUGUGGGCUUGGGCAAGCACCAAUAAUUAUGGACUGUCUGUGAUUUCACCAUAUUUUGAAGCUAAGAGGUAAGCCCACUACCCUUCCCUGGAUGUUGGCAGAAGACAUGAAAUUCCCGGAGCAGAGACAGCUGUUGUUGUUACUUGCCACCCAGCAGGCAGCCCAAGCUUCAUGGUCCUCAUGGGUCCCCUCUGCCUCUAAACCCCAUGGCUGUGAUACUAAGAGGCCCAGGUGGAUGCUGCACAUGUAGGGGGUCUGUGUCCCAGCCAAGGACCCCAUCUGAGGAACCCUGUCUUGCUGAGUGGACUACAAGCACACCUGCCUGGCCUUUGCCCUUGAGGGGGACAUUAUCUUUAUUACACUGGAGUCCAAACAAGCCUGCCUCUGGCCUGGAGGGAGACAGCCUCUAUCUUCCAAGUUGUUCACUAUUCAAACAUUCUUGGAAAGAUAGUCUGGAGCAAACACUAUAAAUGGCUAUAUCCAAGAUGAGCAGAACCACCAGCGACCCAGGGGACUAGGUCUCAGGAGCAAGUGACUCAGCCCUGCUGAGCUUGUUCCCUUGUCUGUAGGAGGGGACAUAAUUGUGUUCACCCCAGAAGGUCACUCCAUUACCUGCUCCAUUAGCCCCUCUAGUCCCUGCCCCCUGCCCUUGCCCAUCCAGGAGUGGGGAUGGGGAAGCUGGAGGGAGGAGCAGGGCUUUGCAGACUUGGGCGAUUCCAUCAAUUUCUUGUCCUUUUGUAAACCCUCCUGCCUGUUUGGGGCUGGCUGCUGCUUCUAGCUCUGGUGAGCCAGGGCCCGUGCUUCUGGUGCUGCACCCUGGCCUCCUAAGGUGCCCCUGGCUCAACAGGCCUUCUCCAGUGUGACAGAUGACUACAGAGUGACCCUCCCAGCUGCUCACAGAGCUGACAGCUGAGAGGCUUGCAGAAAUGCCUUUUCUGUUUCAUUGUCUAUCGCUUAUGUACAGCAAUCUAAAUUUCUAGCUGUUAAUGAAAGAUUAUAGAUGUAUUAAAAAUGUCCCCAAAACCUCUCUUCUUUGCACUUGGAUUGUUAAAUUCCCAACCUCCAUUUUCAGGUUUUAAUGAACAGCACACGGUACUUCAUUGGCAUGUUGGCCUUGCAUGUAGUACCCUCUCUCAUCCCGUCUUGGGGGAAGCUCUUAGAACAGGUGUUUGAGUGGAGGGUCCCAAGGUCCCGACAGGACUGAUGGGCUCCCAUGAGCCUCCUCUGGAGGGUGAC